GAUGAACGCUGACAGAAUGCUUAACACAUGCAAGUCAACUUGAACUUCGGUUUGGGUGGCGGUCGGGUGAGUAACGCGUAAGGAACUUUCAUCACAGAUAAGGACAACAUUUGGAAACGAAUGCUAAUACCUGAUCUUAUGUAUAUAUGGCUAAGUAUAAUUAUGACAGCUAUAUGUGCUGUGAGAGAGCUUUGCGUUCCAUUAGCUAGUUGGAGAGGUAACGGUACAUAAAGGCGAUGAUGGGUAGCCAGCCUGAGAGUGUGAUCUGCCACAAGGGCACUGGGACACGACCAUUACGCCUACGGGAGGCAGGAGUGAAAAAUAUUCGACGAAAGACCAAGAGAGUGAUCCAGCUAUUCUGAGUGCACGAUGAAGUUUUUCGGAAUGUAAAGUGCUGUCAGUUAGGAAGAAAAAAAUGACGGUACCAACAGAAAAAGUGACGGCUAAAUACGUG
rnacentral:rRNA from 1 species